UCUGAAGAAGUCCAGAUGUGUUUGCUCAGGAUGCGGAGCCGGUGCCUCCCAGGAGCAGGGAGGAAAGAGGAGUUACUCAAGAGCAGCUGCUACACGAAGAGCAGUACUGGAGUGGGGAUGAGGACGUGGUCAACUCUGCUUGGGGACAGGGCAACCGACCGUGUAGGAUGAGACAGAUGCCACCAAGCAGACAAGGGGUCGCUUCUUCCGUGUGUCCCUGAACUUCCCGGAUGUCGCCUCCUCUCCUGCUCAUCUCCAUCCUUAUCUUCCUGUGGAACAGCCCACGACCCACCCACCAGGAUAUCACCCUCAAGGAAUCAAGCCAGGAUGAUGGACAGACUGCACACUGGUGCAGCUUCUUCCUGGAAGCCUAGCUGCUGCCCCUUUGCCCAGUAGCUGUUAGGGUCUGCAG